rnacentral:misc_RNA from 1 species
AAAGGGUUCUUCUUGAAGGAUAACCUUGUAGAAAUCCUCACCCAAGUUAUUGGCCGCAGUUGGAGCAUCCUUUCCCGCUCCUCGAUCUGCAGCCACUCCACCUGCCACAGCUGCACCGACUGCAGCAACCGUUAGACCAGCAACUGCAGCAGGACCUGUUGCACCUAAUGCCAGUGCUCCAAGAGCACCAGCGGUACCUGCUCCAACUCCGGCUGCUGCUGCCGAACUUGCUGAUAUGGCAGCUGCUGCUGUUUCCGCACCCUCCAGCACCCAAAGAACAAUAGCGGAGUAAUCAAGGACACCUAAGUACCUUUCUCUCCAAUCCAAACUAUUCUUAGCCACUGGAUUCUUCACAGGAACUGAGAGGAUGUUCGAUUCUGAAAGAAUUUUGACAGCAUCGCCUAUAGAAGUCUCGGCGUCUAUUUCAAUUACUUUUCCUCCAGGGACUUGAGGGAAGGAUG